CGGACGGGUGAGUAAUGUCUGGGAAACUGCCUGAUGGAGGGGGAUAACCACUGGAAACGGUAGCUAAUACCGCAUAACGUCGCAAGACCAAAGAGGGGGACCUUCGGGCCUCUUGCCAUCGGAUGUGCCCAGAUGGGAUUAGCUAGUAGGUGGGGUAACGGCUCACCUAGGCGACGAUCCCUAGCUGGUCUGAGAGGAUGACCAGCCACACUGGAACUGAGACACGGUCCAG
rnacentral:rRNA from 1 species